AAAGCGUGCGCAGGCGGUUAUGUAAGACAGAUGUGAAAUCCCCGGGCUCAACCUGGGAACUGCAUUAGUGACUGCAUAGCUGGAGUACGGCAGAGGGGGAUGGAAUUCCGCGUGUAGCAGUGAAAUGCGUAGAUAUGCGGAGGAACACCGAUGGCGAAGGCAAUCCCCUGGGCCUGUACUGACGCUCAUGCACGAAAGCGUGGGGAGCAAACAGGAUUAGAUACCCGGGA
rnacentral:rRNA from 1 species